UCAAAAUAUUUUGUGAACUAAAGAAAAUGUUUAGUGGGUGUGUUGGAAACGAGGAUGAAUACCAUAUGCAUGGUUCUGAUCAACAUUUAUUCAACAUUUAUUCAGCAUUUAUUGAGCAUUUAUUGAGAGGGAAAGUAGGCAUGAAAUAACUCAACCACUCCAUGUGACUUGUCGUUUCUUCAUUAAACCUCCUCCAUCCCCUAUUUUACUUUAGAUGUUUAAAUUGCGAGUUCAUUUUCGUAGCCUCUUGUGUGUUCAUUAAUAGUGAUGAGGGCAAGUUGGAUCUUUAGCUUUUUCUUUGGCUUCUUUCUCAUCUUCUCAUCCAUGCUUCUCAAACUCAUAAUUUUCCUACAUCGAUCAAAUCUAUCAACCACAUGGACCAACAAAGAAUCUUCUCUCCCUUCAAUGGGAUAAGCAAUAUCGGCUCAAGGACCGAAAGGAUUGGGGUCAUCCUUGAAGAACACAACUUUUCUUGUGGCUUCUUCUGGAAAGGAAGCUGUAAAUCUUACCUCUUUGUCAUUCUUCUCAAUCAAUAUGAUCUGGUGGUUUUUUGAUCAGCCAACCGAGACAAUCCGGUCAAUCCGGUCAGGGAAGAGUGUCUGAAGUUGCCCAUGCAAAGCAACUCUAUUCAAGUACCAAGAUCACUAGACCAAUGGAAGAUUAUUCUUGAUAUGCCAAAGGUUUAGCAUAUCUCCAUGAAGAUUGUAGACAAAAUAUCAUCCACCUCGAUAUUAAAACACAAAACAUACUCCUAGACGAGGAUUUCAAUGCAAAAUUAUCUGAUUUUGGGUUGUUUAAGUUUGUGGAUAGAGAUCAAAGCCAAGUGAUAACUACAAUGAGAGGAACCCUGGCUAUCUGGCUCCAGAAUGGUUGGGCUCAAUUAUCAACGAAAAAGGUGGAAACUUGAUGUCGAAUAUUACAUUGUUGUUUAAAUAUUUUGUAAUCAUCUGAAAUUUAUCUCAAUAUGGUACUUGAAAUACGUGCUUUUAAGCUUGAUUUUAAGCUCGUUACACUCA